CUCUCCAAGGUCCCUGGUUUGGUCAAUUCCACACUGUGGAGCGGAGAGGCCUGGUGGUGUGUCUUGAGCAUCCCUGGUUUGGGGCAAGUCCAGAUGGCAUUUUAGACUCGACACAGCUCCUGGAGUUCAAGUGUCCACUA